GGAAAUAUUAAGAUAAAAUUAAAGCUUCUAACUUUGAUUUAAGCGGUUAGACUCCGUUUAUAUUUCUA
rnacentral:tRNA from 1 species